GUCAAGACUCAAGGCGAAGUGUAUACAAACCACCAUUGCCGAGGGAUAUCGACGAAUCGAAGCAACGGAUCGCAACAGCUGUGAAUAUUUUGAUCACACGACCAUAAUAUAUGACGUGGGAGGUAUGCAACGAUAGUAUCGACUCGAUAUUGUGCACGUUACUAAGAAUGGGCAUAAUGCACACAAUUAAUGAAUUCGCUAAAAGAAACUAAAAUGUAAAAAUAAAAUACGAAUAGUGUACACAGGCACAAGUCAUUUGGUUGGUGACAAAUAAUUGCUGUAU